UACGGAGGGUGCAAGCGUUAUCCGGAUUCACUGGGUUUAAAGGGUGUGUAGGCGGGUAUUUAAGUCAGUGGUGAAAUCUCCGGGCUCAACCCGGAAACUGCCAUUGAUACUAUUUAUCUUGAAUAUUGUUGAGGUAGGCGGAAUAUAUCAUGUAGCGGUGAAAUGCUUAGAUAUGAUAUAGAACACCGAUUGCGAAGGCAGCUUACUAAACAAUUAUUGACGCUGAGGCACGAAAGCAUGGGGAUCAAACAGG
rnacentral:rRNA from 1 species